ACGACUGCUAAUACCGCACAAUGUCUACGGACCAAAGGGGGCUUCGGCUCUCGCCUUUAGAUUGGCCCAAGUGGGAUUAGCUAGUUGGUGAGGUAAUGGCUCACCAAGGCGACGAUCCCUAGCUGGUUUGAGAGGAUGAUCAGCCACACUGGGACUGAGACACGGCCCAGACUCCUACGGGAGGCAGCAGUGGGGAAUAUUGCACAAUGGGCGCAAGCCUGAUGCAGCCAUGCCGCGUGUGUGAAGAAGGCCUUCGGGUUGUAAAGCACUUUCAGUCAGGAGGAAAGGUUAGUAGUUAAUACCUGCUAGCUGUGACGUUACUGACAGAAGAAGCACCGGCUAACUCCGUGCCAGCAGCCGCGGUAAUACGGAGGGUGCGAGCGUUAAUCGGAAUUACUGGGCGUAAAGCGUACGCAGGCGGUUUGUUAAGCGAGAUGUGAAAGCCCCGGGCUCAACCUGGGAACUGCAUUUCGAACUGGCAAACUAGAGUGUGAUAGAGGGUGGUAGAAUUUCAGGUGUAGCGGUGAAAUGCGUAGAGAUCUGAAGGAAUACCGAUGGCGAAGGCAGCCACCUGGGUCAACACUGACGCUCAUGUACGAAAGCGUGGGGAGCAAACGGGAUUAGAUACCCCGGUAGUCCACGCCGUAAACGAUGUCUACUAGAAGCUCGGAGCCUCGGUUCUGUUUUUCAAAGCUAACGCAUUAAGUAGACCGCCUGGGGAGUACGGCCGCAAGGUUAAAACUCAAAUGAAUUGACGGGGGCCCGCACAAGCGGUGGAGCAUGUGGUUUAAUUCGAUGCAACGCGAAGAACCUUACCUACACUUGACAUACAGAGAACUUACCAGAGAUGGUUUGGUGCCUUCGGGAACUCUGAUACAGGUGCUGCAUGGCUGUCGUCAGCUCGUGUUGUGAGAUGUUGGGUUAAGUCCCGCAACGAGCGCCACCCCCUAUCCUUAGUUGCUAGCAGGUAAUGCUGAGAACUCUAAGG
rnacentral:rRNA from 1 species